rnacentral:rRNA from 1 species
AUAAGCAUAUCAAUAAGCGGAGGAAAAGAAACCAACAGGGAUUGCCUUAGUAACGGCGAGUGAAGCGGCAACAGCUCAAAUUUGAAAUCUGGCCCUUGGGUCCGAAUUGUAAUUUGUAGAGGAUGAUUUUGGUGCGGUAUCUUCCGAGUUCCUUGGAACAGGACGCCUUAGAGGGUGAGAGCCCCGUACGGUUGAAUGCCUAGCCUCUGUAAAUCUCCUUCGACGAGUCGAGUAGUUUGGGAAUGCUGCUCUAAAUGGGAGGUAAAUUUCUUCUAAAGCUAAAUAUUGGCCAGAGACCGAUAGCGCACAAGUAGAGUGAUCGAAAGAUGAAAAGCACUUUGAAAAGAGGGUUAAAUAGCACGUGAAAUUGUUGAAAGGGAAGGAUUUGUGACCAGACUUUUUCUGGGCGGAUCAUCCGGGGUUCUCUCCGGUGCACUUCGCCCAGUAAAGGCCAGCAUCGGUUUUCGGCGUGGGAUAAAAGCAGUAGGAAUGUGGCUCUCUACGGGGAGUGUUAUAGCCUAUUGUAUAAUACCGCGCUGGGGACCGAGGUUCGCGCUUCUGCAAGGAUGCUGGCGUAAUGGUUAUCAAUCACCCGUCUUGAAACACGGACCAAGGAGUCGAACAUUUGUGCGAGUGUUUGGGUGUUAAACCCUCACGCGUAAUGAAAGUGAACGGAGGUGAGAGCCCUUACGGGUGCAUCAUCGACCGAUCCUGAAGUUUUCGGAUGGAUUUGAGUAAGAGCAUAACUGUUCGGACCCGAAAGAUGGUGAACUAUGCGUGGAUAGGGUGAAGCCAGAGGAAACUCUGGUGGAGGCUCGCAGCGGUUCUGACGUGCAAAUCGAUCGUCAAAUCUGCGCAUGGGGGCGAAAGACUAAUCGAACCAUCUAGUAGCUGGUUACCGCC